UACGGAGGGUGCAAGCGUUGUCCGGAUUUACUGGGUUUAAAGGGUGCGCAGGCGGAUAUGUAAGUCAGUGGUGAAAUCUCUGGGCUUAACCCGGAAAUUGCCAUUGAUACUAUAUAUCUUGAAUGUUGUGGAGGUAAGCGGAAUAUGUCAUGUAGCGGUGAAAUGCUUAGAUAUGACAUAGAACACCUAUUGCGAAGGCAGCUUACUGGGCAGAUAUUGACGCUCAUGCACGAAAGCGUGGGGAUCAAACAGG
rnacentral:rRNA from 1 species